rnacentral:misc_RNA from 1 species
AACCAUAGAAACCUGCGGAGUACCUGCGGAAGGAUCAUCAUUGAAACCCAAUUUGGACAAGAGGUUUUGCUUGAGAGGGGAGGGGGAUAAAAAAACUCUGCAUUUUUUGUUUCCCGAGCCUUGAGAGUGGGGCCUCUUGGACAAACAACCAAUCUUCAUGACUAGGAAAAAAUACAGUGAUUUGGUGGGGGGCUAACAAACACAAGUUCUUGUCUGACAAGUAGCUUACUGAUUUGGAGC